ACGGGUGAGUAACACGUGGGUGAUCUGCCCUGCACUUCGGGAUAAGCCUGGGAAACUGGGUCUAAUACCGGAUAUGACCUCCUAUCGCAUGGUGGGUGGUGGAAAGAUUUAUCGGUGCAGGGUGGGCCCGCGGCCUAUCAGCUUGUUGGUGGGGUAAUGGCCUACCAAGGCGACGACGGGUAGCCGACCUGAGAGGGUGACCGGCCACACUGGGACUGAGACACGGCCCAGACUCCUACGGGAGGCAGCAGUGGGGAAUAUUGCACAAUGGGCGAAAGCCUGAUGCAGCGACGCCGCGUGAGGGAUGACGGCCUUCGGGUUGUAAACCUCUUUCAGCAGGGACGAAGCGCAAGUGACGGUACCUGCAGAAGAAGCACCGGCUAACUACGUGCCAGCAGCCGCGGUAAUACGUAGGGUGCAAGCGUUGUCCGGAAUUACUGGGCGUAAAGAGUUCGUAGGCGGUUUGUCGCGUCGUUUGUGAAAACCAGCAGCUCAACUGCUGGCUUGCAGGCGAUACGGGCAGACUUGAGUACUGCGGGGGAGACUGGAAUUCCUGGUGUAGUGGUGAAAUGCGCAGA
rnacentral:rRNA from 1 species